UACGGAGGGUGCUAGCGUUGUUCGGAAUCACUGGGCGUAAAGCGCGCGUAGGCGGCCCCCUAAGUCUGAUGUGAAAGCCCGGGGCUCACCCCCGGAAGUGCAUUGGAAACUGGUGGACUCGAGUCCCGGAGAGGAGAGUGGAAUUCCUGGUGUAGCGGUGAAAUGCGUAGAUAUCAGGAGGAACACCGGUGGCGAAGGCGGCUCUCUGGACGGUGACUGACGCUGAGACGCGAAAGCGUGGGGAGCAAACAGG
rnacentral:rRNA from 1 species